CCUACGGGUGGCAGCAGUGAGGAAUAUUGGUCAAUGGCCGUAAGGCUGAACCAGCCAAGUCGCGUGAAGGAAGAAGGAUCUAUGGUUUGUAAACUUCUUUUAUAUGGGAAUAAAGUGCAGUAUGUAUACUGCUUUGCAUGUACCUUAUGAAUAAGGAUCGGCUAACUCCGUGCCAGCAGCCGCGGUAAUACGGAGGAUUCGAGCGUUAUCCGGAUUUAUUGGGUUUAAAGGGAGCGUAGGCGGGUUGUUAAGUCAGUUGUGAAAGUUUGCGGCUCAACCGUAAAAUUGCAGUUGAUACUGGCAUCCUUGAGUACAGUAGAGGUAGGCGGAAUUCGUGGUGUAGCGGUGAAAUGCUUAGAUAUCACGAAGAACUCCGAUUGCGAAGGCAGCCUGCUGGACUGUAACUGACGCUGAUGCUCGAAAGUGUGGGUAUCAAACAGGAUUAGAUACCCUUGUAGUC
rnacentral:rRNA from 1 species